rfam:Ovis aries breed Texel chromosome 9, whole genome shotgun sequence.
UCCCCGGUGGCUCAGACGGUAAAGCGUCAGUCUACAAUGCGGGAGACCUGGGUUCGAUCCCUGGUUGGGAAG